AGCGAACGCUGGCGGCAGGCCUAACACAUGCAAGUCGAACGAACCUUUCGGGGUUAGUGGCGGACGGGGGAGUAACACGUGGGAACGUGCCUUUAGGUUCGGAAUAACUCAGGUAAACUUGUGCUAAUACCGAAUGUGCCCUUCGGGGGAAAGAUUAAUCGCCUUUAGAGCGGCCCGUGUCUGAUUAGCUAGUUGGUUGAGGUAAUGGCUCACCAAGGCGACGAUCAGUAGCUGGUGUGAGAGGAUGAUCAGCCACAUUGGGACUGAGACCCGGCCCAAACUCCUACGGGAGGCAGCAGUGGGGAAUAUUGCGGGAUGGGCGAAAGCGUGACGAAGCCAUGCGGCGUGAAUGAUGAAGGUCUUAGGAUUGUAAAAUUCUUUCUCAGGGGACGAUAAUGACGGUACCCGGAGAAGAAGCCCCGGCUAACUUCGUG
rnacentral:rRNA from 1 species